UACGUAGGGUGCGAGCGUUGUCCGGAAUUAUUGGGCGUAAAGAGCUCGUAGGCGGUCUGUCGCGUCGGUCGUGAAAACUUGGGGCUUAACCCUGAGCUUGCGGUCGAUACGGGCAUGACUGGAGUUCGGCAGGGGAGACUGGAAUUCCUGGUGUAGCGGUGAAAUGCGCAGAUAUCAGGAGGAACACCGAUGGCGAAGGCAGGUCACUGGGCCGCAACUGACGCUGAGGAGCGAAAGCAUGGGGAGCGAACAGG
rnacentral:rRNA from 1 species